UACAGAGGGUGCAAGCGUUGUUCGGAAUUAUUGGGCGUAAAGCGCGUGUAGGCGGCGUGACAAGUCGGGUGUGAAAGCCCUCAGCUCAACUGAGGAAGUGCGCCCGAAACUGUCGUGCUUGAGUGCCGGAGAGGGUGGCGGAAUUCCCCAAGUAGAGGUGAAAUUCGUAGAUAUCGGGAGGAACACCAGUGGCGAAGGCGACUACCUGGCCUGUUCUUGACGCUGAGGCGCGAAAGCUAGGGGAGCAAACGGG
rnacentral:rRNA from 1 species